CAUUAAAAUCGGUUCAAAAGUUUCAGAUAUGAACUAUUAAACCAAAAAACUACGUAAUAAUAAGGAAAUUGAAAAAAAAAACAUUCUAGAAAUACAAUAACUCAAAAAGGAAGAAUAAUAAAUAAGUAUGCCAUUAUCAGGAGCGGAGAGAUAAAAACGGUAUAUGGAACGCUUAAAACUAGAAAACCCCUUGAAGUUUGAAGAAAAGAGAAAAGCACAUUUAGAAAAAGUGAAACAACGCAACAUCAAAAUAUCAGACUUAUCUGAGGAAGAGAAACUCAUUCAAAGAUUAAAAUGGCGCGAUGCGAAUAAGAAGAAGCUUAGAAAAGAUGAAAAGACACAAAAAGAGAAAGAGGAAAAGCUGAAACAAAUAAGAGAAAAACGAGCAGCCGCAGAAAAUGUCAAGCUGAAAAAGAAUAACAAACUAUUAGAAUCAAAAAUAGAGCAGCUCAACAGAAAGAUAAACUGUCUCAAAAAAAAAUUAUAUCGGACCAAGAAAAAUCUUCAUCAGUUAAAAGACCAGAUAAAUAGUGAAAAUUCUGUUGUGUGUAUUUCAGAAGACACACAAGAUCUCAAAAUAUGGCAAUAACUCCAAACAGCAAAACAAAUUCUUUCAUUGAUUCUUUAAGUGAGACUGUCUCGGAUGACGAUAGGAAUAUAAUUAAAAGGAAGGUUUUUGAAUUGAACGUUUUGUCAGAAUCACUGAAAUCCGAAUAUGGCAAAGCCGAAACAAACGACACUAAAAGAAAAUUUAAAAGGAUUGUGAACAAUGAUAUAACUCAAAAAUAUCAGAUGAAAACAAAUCUGACACAGAAAUUAGGUCUCAAGGGUAGGGUCAGAAUAAAGCAAUCUCAGAAACAGCCUUCAGAGGUAAAACAUCAGGACAUUCAGAAUUUCUUCUUGCGUGAUGAUGUAAGCCGUUCCACGGCAGGAAAAAAGGAAACGAAAAUUUUAAAAAAAGUGAAAGUACAAAAACGUUUCUUGAAUGACACUCUGGACAAUCUUUACGAAACUAAAUAAGGUAAGGCAUCCCGGACAACAUUCGGGCGAUACAAGCCAUUUUAUGUAAGAACCCCAAACGCAAAUGACAGAGACACCUGUCUUUGUAAAAAGCACACAAAUUUAAAAAUGAAAGCAGAAAAACUAAAAAUUUUAGGGGUAAUCAAAACCACCAGCUAUUCUGAGCUGAUUGAUGAAAUUACUUGCGACAAAAACUCUAAAAUUUGCAUGUAUUCGGAAUGUACAUCUUGUAAAGAAAAAACACCCACAAUGGACACUAGCAUUAACAAUCAAAAAGAAACAUCCUGGUACAAAUGGGUCUUGAAAAGUCAUGAAUACAGUAAGCACCAACCAGGAUCCUCAAAAAGUACCCAACAGAUGUGAUCAUUUUGUGAUCAAAAAAAUACACGAAAGAUCUGAUCACUGGAUCUGUAGAAAUGCUGGUUGAAGAAUUCGUUAAUGAACUACAUGCUUUUAAAAAACACUAUUUUAAUGUGGGUAUCCAAGAAUCAGCUUUCAAAAUGUGUAGGGAAACAAUAAAAGAAGACGAAAUAGUGUUGAUUUGCGACUUUUCAGAAAACUAUGCUUGUAAGAUGUCAGAGGAGAUACAAUCCGCACAUUUUGGAGCCAGCAAAAAUCAAUUCACGUUACAGACAGGAGUUAUUUACACAAAAGCACAUGAGCCACAAUCGUUUUGCACAAUAUCUCCAUCGAACUUUCAUGAUCCAGGAGCAAUAUGGGCUCAUUUGAAGCCAGCAAUUGACCUUGCAUAGAACCUAUGCCCGUCAGCAAGAGUGCUUCAUAUAUGGUCAGACGGACCAACCACUCAAUACAGACAAAAGAAAAACUUUUACUUAUUCAACAAACUGAAAUAUAAAUUGACUUGUCUUUUAUUUUGAAAUAUU